UGGGGAAUCUUGCGCAAUGGGGGAAACCCUGACGCAGCAACGCCGCGUGGGUGAUGAAGGCCUUCGGGUCGUAAAGCCCUGUCAGGUGGGAAGAAACUUGUGGAUGUUAAUACCAUCCAUGCUUGACGGUACCACCGGAGGAAGCACCGGCUAACUCCGUGCCAGCAGCCGCGGUAAUACGGAGGGUGCAAGCGUUGUUCGGAAUUAUUGGGCGUAAAGCGCGUGUAGGUGGUCGUGUAAGUCAGAUGUGAAAGCCUUCUGCUUAACAGAAGAAGGGCAUUUGAAACUGCUCGACUAGAGUACGGGAGAGGAGAGUGGAAUUCCCGGUGUAGAGGUGAAAUUCGUAGAUAUCGGGAGGAACACCAGUGGCGAAGGCGGCUCUCUGGUCCGAUACUGACACUGAGACGCGAAAGCGUGGGGAGCAAACAGGAUUAGAUACCCUGGUAGUCCACGCCGUAAACGAUGGGCACUAGGUGUAGGAGGUAUUGACCCCUUCUGUGCCGAAGCUAACGCAUUAAGUGCCCCGCCUGGGGAGUACGGCCGCAAGGCUA
rnacentral:rRNA from 1 species